UGGUCAUUUAGAGGAAGUAAAAGUCGUAACAAGGUUUCCGUAGGUGAACCUGCGGAAGGAUCAUUAUCGUACAAGGCUGUCGCUGACCCUUAGGGUCGUGCACGCCCCCGGUCGUCCUCACAAAUCCACCUCACCUUUGUGCAUCACCGCGUGGGCUCCAAGGGGGGCUUGCGUUUUUCACACGCACAGUAUAGAAUGUCUUUUGCGUAGAACGCAAUCAAUACAACUUUCAACAACGGAUCUCUUGGCUCUCGCAUCGAUGAAGAACGCAGCGAAAUGCGAUACGUAAUGUGAAUUGCAGAAUUCAGUGAAUCAUCGAAUCUUUGAACGCACCUUGCGCCCCUUGGCAUUCCGAGGGGCACACCCGUUUGAGUGUCGUGAAAUCCUCAACCUUCUUCCUUUUUUUGGACGGGGGAAAGGCUUGGACUUUGGAGGCUUUUUUGCUGGCCUUUUUGAAGCCAGCUCCUCUUAAACGAAUUAGCGGGGUUCGCCUUUGCCGAUCCUCGACGUGAUAAGCUAUUUCUACGUCUUGAGAGGNAGAGACCUGCUUCCAAUCGUCUCGCAGAGACACUCUUUUGACCUCAAAUCGGGUGAGACUACCCGCUGAACUUAAGCAUAUCAAUAAGCGGAGGAAAAGAAACUAACAAGGAUUCCCCUAGUAACUGCGAGUGAAGCGGGAAAAGCUCAAAUUUAAAAUCUGGGGUCU
rnacentral:sRNA from 1 species